rnacentral:lncRNA from 1 species
AGGUUUUCCAGCCUGAAGAAAUUGAUGAUGCAGACCUGUUUGCUUGUCUUCCUAAGGAUUAUUCACCCCUUUCCGUGGGAGGGGCAGCGUCACUGAGAAAGUUACGGGUUGCAAGCUUGAGUGUCUAAGAACCGCCUGGCGAGCUUCUUAAGCAGAUCGCCAGGUUCCAUCUUCGCAGACUCUGGUUCAGCAGGUAGCAGGUUAGCCCGAGAAUCUGCAUUUCUAACAAGCUCCUAGGCGUGCCCACGCUGUCAGUAUUGGCAGCCCAACCUUUUUUGGGGGGUGGGGGGGGGAGUUUUUCUAUGUUGCCGGUCUCGAACUCCUAGCCUUAAGCGAUCUUCCCUACUCGGCCUCCCAAAAUGCCAGGAUCGCAAGCGUAAGCCACUGUGCCAGACCACCACCCUUUUUCUUCUUUUUUGUAAGUGGACUAAUUAUAGUUGUAUAUAAGCAGCUCCACUUUUGAUGACCACUGCUCUAUUUUGUCGGCUCCUGGGGACCUCCUUUCCAUGAAGUGGAGAAGGAAGGGGAUAGAGGAGUCCCUCAUCACAGGGUCCUUUUGCGCACUGCUAUCCCUGGAAUGAGACCCUGGGAAGGGCCCCGGAUCACUCAGGCUGUCACUGCAAGGAAAAAGUUGAGGAAGCAGCAGUGCCCCUGGAAAGCCUGGAAGUGUCCCUGCUGCUUGGAUCAAGGAACAAUUCGUCCUUGCAAGGAAGAAGCAUCCCUUGUUGAUGAUAAGGACAGAUUUCCUCAGCUGCCCCAGAAAGCCAGCCUCUGCCUAAAACACCGUAGGUCAGGAGGGAAAGCUGGCGGGGAACCAGCCAGCUGCACCACAGACAGUCUGGUGGUAUACCUGGGAAGAAAGCUACCUGCAAGGACCUACUCUGUUCCUACUACGCUCUGGGUGUCCCCCAAGUCACUGCCUAUUUUGCUUGGUUGCAUAAACUAUUUAUGUAAAUGUACUUCCAAUUUUAGUGCUUACAGCCACUAGCAAAAAGCAAAAGCUUUGGAGUCAGUGGUCCUGGUUAACUUACCCCUCCCUCCACAAGGUAGUAACAGUGUAGGGAACUGUGGAAAAGGCUGUUUGCCUUCCCUGAGUCUAAUUCUUCAUGGAGUAAAUGGAGUCUGUUUCUUCAGUACUACACCAAGUUGUUCAUGAGGAUCGAGUUUUCUAAUAUUCAUGAAAAUACUUUGUAAACCCUGGCACACCAUGCUCAUGUUAAUCACCUUCUUACUGGAAGAAAAUGCUUUAGAUAAUUUAGGCUUUUUUUUUUUACCCAUAGAAUUCCCUUCCUUCCUUCUGCUUUUUUUUUUCUUUUCUUUAUUUUUUCAGAGAUGAUGUUUCAGUAUGUUGCCCAGGCUGGUCUCGAACUCCUGGCCUCAAGCGAUCCUCCUGCCUCAGCCUCCCAAGUAGCUGGAACUACAGGCAUGCCUCACCAUACUUUGCCCCUUCUACUUUUGUAGAGCCAAGCCUGACCUUCCUGGACUGUUGUUUUCAAGCAUAAUAUCUCUGGUACAACAUUGAUACAAUCCACAUGAGUUCUUUAAGUAAGUGGCUAGUUACUUGGGGAUUCAAAGGAUCAUCUUGUCUCAGACUUUGGGUUCCUAUUGUCAAUACUUAAAUUCUAUGAUAGGAUGCCCCAGGAAAGAAGGAAUACAAGGCCGAGCUGCGUGGUGACUUUCAGGGGCCCUAUUUUUGCCUUAGUAGGCCUUUCUCUCCAUAAAACAGUUAAUAAAAAUUUCAUUUUAUAGUCACAUUGCUAUGAAGAUGAUUAUAUUAAAAUGAUAUCAUAAAACAUUUUUAGACCUGUAAGUUCAUUUAUUGCUCUUGAUUAAAAAAAUUGAAACAUUUUCAUGGUCCUUCAGAAUAUCAUGGUUUGUAGGCAUGAUGCCUCCUGCACAUCAUGGAGAAGUUGGCUGAUGCAAAAUGAAUUCCUCUAUAGGCACAAGUGUGUUUGUAUUAAUAUUAUGAAUAUAAAAACAAGGCUAGCCAUGGUGGCUCAUGCCUGUAACCCCGGCACUUUGGGAGGCUGAAGCGAGAGAGUCACUUGAGCCCAGGAGUUUGAGAACAACCUGGGCAACAUAGAGAGACCCUGUCUCUACAAAGAUUUCAAAAUUAGCCAGGCAUGGUGGUGCGCCCCUGUAGUCCCAGUUGCUUGUGAGGCUGAGGCAGGAGGAUGGGUUGGGCUUGGGAGGUCGAGGCUGCAGUAAGCUGUGAUUAUGCUAUUGCACUCCAGCCUGGGUGACAGAAUGAGAUCCUGUCUCAAAAAAAUAAAAAACAAAACAAAACCUCAGCUAACCACAAAAUCAUCAUAUUUAUGGGAGGACAAAAUGAGAUGCUUGAAAAAGAUGACCUCGUAGUUUGUGGUUGUGGUUGCUUCCUAAACUACAUUCUCACCGUACUUCCUAGUUAUCUAACUAGGAGAUUUGGAUAAGGUUGAGUCCAUCUCCACCACUCUCACCACCAGUUCCGGGAAUGAGUCCCUAGAGGUUUAACCCGAUCAAUCAGGAUGACCAUGACUCUUCCAUAGCGAUUGGGGCAGGGAUGGCACCUACCCCUGGCGACCCGUGCUGCUCCCCUGGCAAUAGGGAUUGGCUCAGAAUAAAAACUUGGCCUUGUCAAGUUCAAUUUUGCCCAAUCUGAGUAAGGGAAUCACAGAGAAACAGCACCCAAUCUCUAGAUCCUUCCAGUUGUGUGAGCCAACCAGUUCCAGUUAUUGUGGAAGCCAGUUUCAAUUGUUGUUUUGUUUUUACUAGCAACCAAAAAUGUAUGUAGCAAUCUGUUACAGUAUGUUAAAAUUGAAGUUUCCACUAAGACUCCAAGAUGAAGUAAAAAUGAGAUAUCAAAGUGUGUGUGAGAGAGAUUGCCCUCCUUCCUGGGGGAAUCUUCAGAGUAGAUUUAGGAGAGAUGAUUUCCUCCUGCUUAUUAUUAUUUUUUUUUUUUUUGGAGUCUCACUCUGUCACUCAGGCUGGAGUGCAGUGACAUGAUCUCAGCUCACUGCAACCUCCACCUCCCAGGUUCAAGGGAUUCUCCCACCUCAGCCUCCCGAGUAGCUGGGAUUACAGGCACGUGCCACCACACCCAGCUAAUCUUUGUAUUUUUAGUAGAGACGGGGCUUUACCAUGUUGACCAGGCUGGUCUUGAACUCCUGACCUCAGGUAAUCCACCCACCUCGACCUCCCAAAGUGCUGGGAUUACAGGCAUGGGCCACCAUGCUAGCUGAUUUCCUCCUUCUCUUAAACACCUCUCUCACACACUUUGGGAAUAUAAAGGAAGGGAGAAAAUCGUGACCAAGAUGACUUCACUGGAAGGAUCUCUUUGGAGAUGGGCCCCUCCCCAAUAGAGAAAAUGAGGGUAUCUGCCUCCUUGCCUCAAUUUGGCUGAUAAGAGACUUUGAGGAGACACUUACAUACCUGUUGGUUCCCAGGCACUUGGGGACAGGGUGACCUGCAGGAGCGUCAAGCUGCGUGUGUUUUGGUAGCACAACAAAGGCAAACAAGGUAGGUUGUCAGCCAGAUCGGAACUUUGCUGGCAGGAUGUCACCUAGAGUCUUAAUUUCUGCCUAAGGAGCUAACCUGGAAGCACGAAGACUCCCCAGUGGUGAGUCAAGUGUGAACAGCACUCCUGGAGAACCAGGGCAGAGGGAAAGCCAGCCUGAGAUGAGGCCUUGCCCAGUGGGUCAUGGGCAUGCACUGGGAUUUGGGAUGUGCAGGGAGUCCCCGAGGGGACUAGGAGAGAGGGUCAGGUCUAACUAGAUCUUACCUAAGAGUGCAAAACAAAGUUAGAACAAGUUCAAGUGUGUAUUAGUCCGUUCUCAUGCUGCUAUAAAGAACUACUUGAGACUGGGUAACUUAUAAAGGAAAGAGGUUUAACUGACUCACAGUUCUGCAUGGCUUGGGGAGGCCUCAGGAAACUUGCAAUCAUGGCGGAAGACAAAGGGGAAGCAAAGCACGUCUUACGUGGCAGCAGGAGAGAGAGAGAGCAAGCCAAGGGGAGGUGCCACACUUUAAAACCACCAGAUCUCGUGAGAACUCACUAUCAUGAGAACAGCCUGGGGGAACUGCCCCCAUGAUCCAAUUACUCCCACCACGCCCCUCCCUCAACACAUGGAGAUUGCAAUUCAAGAUGAGAUUUGGGUGGGAACACAGAGCCAAACCAUAUCAAAGUGAAAACUGUCCUAUCCCCCACUUUCCCCAUCUCAGGCUAGGCAGAAAUGAAAACCGCAGGGAACAGGUGAGGUGGGAAAGAGCAGGGCCAGCCACAGCCCCUUCCCCACCUGAGGCAGGGAAGGCUAAGGCGGCCUAUGUCCUACCUGGGGCAAAGGGAAAACAGUUCUCAUCCUGUAGUGAAGAUUGCCAUGUUGAUUAGUAUCUUGGACUGACGCUACCAUUUCUUCACUGGGAUUCUGUUUGCAAUGAAAGUGCCUACAGAAUUGUCUAUUCCCUAAGAGGACCUUAGAAGAACACAGAGAGCAUGCACUAAAAUUCUGCUCGUGUGGGGAGGGAUUCUUUGCAAAGGUUUGUAGGAGAGAACCAUGAGGGAUGGUACAGGAAUCCAGGUUAAAAGCAAUGAGGCCAACACCACCCCUCCCUCGACCUAGAGGGAUGCUGGGCGAGGUUACCAGAAAGAAGGAGAGUUGCGAAGAGCAGACCACCUUGAGACAAUCACCUUCCAUCCAGGGUCACAGUCACCAGCUGGGGUGACCUCAUAGGGAGGGAGGCAGGAGAUUAAAUUCUCUGACCUCGCUCUCUUCUGUCCCUCCAGUUUCCUGCUGGAACUCGCCAUUGCCCAUAUCCAGCCAGAAUCCACAGGGCACGUAGCAUAUUGAUGUAAUCCAUACAAGUUCACCAUGGUCAAGAGCAGGGUGGAGCGUGAAUGGGAAGGGAUCCCACACACAGACUGCCCUUGUGCUCAUCUAGGGCCACAGGGAAGGCGGUCGUCACCGAAGAAGGUCUAAGGGCGUAGCAGAAGGCAAAAUGUGAAAGAGAGUUCCAUUUUUAUUAUAACCUGCAGUCUUUUCUUGCACAACAUAUGGGUUACUUGAACUACCUGAUUCAACCCUAAUUUUUGGCUUGAUUCGAAAGCUUUAGUGUAAAUAACAAACAAAUGCUCAUCUAAUUUAUAUCAAUGGCUAGCACUAGAGGGGAGAGAGACAGAGCAAGAAAAUAUAACUGGGGGAGAGAAGGAAAAAGAGAAGAAACAAAUGAGAUCUUAAUAAUUUGGGAGAAUUGUGGCCUUUUAAGAGUGCUCUGGCAAUUGAGGAAAAUCAGAAAUUAAUGGCUAUAGGCCGAGCGCAGUGGCUUAUGCUUAUAAUCCCAGCCCUUUAGGAGGCCAAGGGGGUGGAUCACCUGAGGUCAGGAGUUAGAGACCAGCCUGGCCAACAUGGCGAAACUCCAUCUCUACUAAAAAUACAAAAAUUAGCCAGCUGUGGUGGUGGUCCCCUGUAGUCCCAGCUACUCAGGAGGCUGAGGCAGGAGAAUCAUUUGAACCUGGAGGGUGG